GCCUACUAGCUCCUGUGAAAGGAUAAAAAGCUUCACAGCCCUUGAGGCAAGGAAAGAACAGUAGAAAGAAACCACCUGUUUUAGCCAUAGACCUUUGUGCAGACGAUUCUAUUUGUAUUUGUUUUUGUGGUAAGGAGAGUGUAUUUCAGAAAGAAUCAGCAGCCUCUCACCGAAAUAUUUCCCUUUGGCCAAAAUCUAGGGAAAUCCACAUGGUAACUUCUAAAGUCAAUUUAUGGGUUUUUAUGGAGAUCCUAGAACAGAGUUAUCAAACUGCUGACCCGUGAGCCGGUUUCAUCAUACCAAAGCUGCACCUACCCCAUUGCCGGCAAUGCAAAAAAAAGAAGUUGCGAUACGUCGAGCCACAUCACAUGACAUGGCGAGUUUGACACCCGUGUCCUAGAAAGAUGCUUUGAACAAGGACAAAAUAAAAGAGACACUCAUGUGACAGUACAGUAGGUUUCACACCUGUCUGUGAGGGGACAGUUCAGAAAAUCAAGCAGAUGUGCUGGGACUAUUGGCUGAGUGUACCAAAGAAACUUUAGAAAACUUGUCCUUAACCACAUGUUUCAAGAAUAUUUACUUUCUGUAAUAUUAUAGCAUUUUGCUUUGCCACUUUUUCACAGUGUUGGAUCUUCAGGUUUUCUUAAUACUAUAUUCUAACCUUUUCAAAGUAGUGUAGCAAUUACAAUUGUACUAGGGCUGAGAAUGACUCUGGUUUAUAACCUGAGCCUGAUUCUGCCAUGAGAACUGAAUUCUGCCACUGGAUAGGUUCAAUCGCUAUCUGACAGCCUAAGCCAAUCCCACAGAAUUGAUAUGUGGAUAAUAUUAGAGAAGGCAAAUAUUAUGUGCUCUACAUGGAACUAUGGUGGAAAGGUGAGAUAAAAAUCCAGUCUCUGUUGCUUGAUAUUAUAUGGAUUUCUCUCUCAGCUAUACAUAUGAUAGCAUAGUUAAACCCUAAAAAUGCAAUUGAGAUGCCUAGCCUAAUUGGGCUGAGGAAAGAUGGAGAUGUGGUAGAGACAGUGAGCUCUCACUCUGUCUCAGGAAGGCUUACUUUAACUUUCCAGAUGUCUUAAGAAUCUUGUCUUAACUUCAAUAUGGCAUUUCCUUCUAUCCUUUUAUCAUUUUGCUUCAAGAAAUGUCAUCUAUGUUCUGUAUCCAGGCUAUAUGCUCUAUUUUAAAACUGAAUUGUAUGCUAAAUACUUUCCUCUUCUGCUUAAACUGCUUGUUUCUUAAAGGGCACUUUCACAAAUUGUGUUGGAUCACAUGAAGAGAAGUUCUGUUCUUUGGUGAUCCCCUAAUAUUGUUGUAUCUGCCAGCCGAAACAUGUAUUUUCAGCCCAGCUGUGGGGCAACCAAAAAUAAUACUUAGUCCCUGCAAUUUUUUUGGCAAGAUUUCUGAAGUGGUUUGCUGCUGUCUCCUUCCCAGAGCUAGGAGAAACCAACUGGCCAAGGCCACCCAACUGACUACACCAAACUGCUCUCUAACAUAUAUUAAUCACUGCAAAGUUUGUAUCCCUGCAAAUUUUUGCAAUUUGGAUCCAGAUCAAGUUGUUGAACUCAGACACAACUGAUGAUUUUUUGGAACAACUUAGCUAUGAUCAGAGAUUCAGAAAUCCUGCAUAGUUUUGGAACAGGGCAGCAAAUGAGCAUUCCCAGGAUAUCACAGAGAGGAGAGUUGGAGAAAGAUCUUUUGGGUCACAUGCUUGGAUGUUCAGAAUUAAGACUUUUUUGUCCUUCGAACCACUUAAUCCACUUAAGUUUCAUAGAAUGUGAGAGAUACAUGAAAACCACAUUACCAAAGAAUGUGGAUUGUUUCUUGCCCAAAGAUAAUGCUCCAUCUAUGAUGUCUUGGGUCUAGCUAGCAAAUCAGAAAUUAUCUAGGAAUUAAACCUAGCUUUCUAAUGAACGGUAAUAAAAUUACUGAUUAAAGGUGCAGAGGUUUUCAGUGAUUUUCCAUUUCACUCUUGUGAGAAAUAAAACCGGGAUUCCAUCUAUUCAAGUCUAAAGAAGAGGGUUCCAGAAGCUCUAGAGGGCACUGCAAUGCCAUAUCAAACCUUGGAAUUUGUUCAACUGCUCAGAGGUUGUCCUUCAAUCACAUGCCUAUUUUAUAGACAGUAAUGAGUGUGUGUGUGUGUAUGUGUGAGAGAGAGAGAGAGAGAGAGUUUCCUUGACCUCUCUUUCUGCUUGCUUGUUUAUUCUAAAGGGAGAGGCUCCCUUUUCUGCAAUGUCUGAUUAAGAUAAAAUAAUUUACAGCCUGGCAACUUCCAGAGGUGCUUGGACUAGUUUUCAGAAUUGCCAGGUAGUUGACAGGGAACAGCCUCUAGCCAGACUACAGAGUCAAGAAGAGGAACAAGAAAAGAAGGCACAUCUGAUUGUCAAAAGACACAUUGCAAUUGAUCUGCCCAGAACUUCUGGAAAUUAUAGUUACCAAAAUAUUUGGACAACCUCAGGAUGAAGAAGGCAACAUUGAAUUUCUGUUCUGUAUGAGUAGAUGGUUAAGAAAAACAUAUUAUAUAAUUGUAAAUCUUUAUUAAAAUAAUCUGUGGUCCAA